CCAAGGUUCGAGUCGAACGCAGAGAGACAACGUUGCCAGCGGCAACGGCCCGGAGGG
rfam:Pragia fontium strain 24613, complete genome.